UACGUAGGGGGCAAGCGUUGUCCGGAAUUAUUGGGCGUAAAGAGCGCGUAGGCGGUCCGGUAAGUCGGUUGUGAAAGUCGGGGGCUCAACCCUCGGAUGCCGAUCGAUACUGUCGGGCUAGAGUCCGGAAGAGGCGAGUGGAAUUCCUGGUGUAGCGGUGAAAUGCGCAGAUAUCAGGAGGAACACCGGUGGCGAAGGCGGUUCUCUGGGCCUGUACUGACGCUGAGGAACGAAAGCGUGGGGAGCGAACAGG
rnacentral:rRNA from 1 species